rnacentral:tRNA from 1 species
GCAGGUAUGGUUUAACAAAAACGUUAGAUUGUGGUUCUAAAAAUAGAGGUUAAACUCCCCUUACCCGCC